AGGAUAUUGGCCCCAAGGAUUUGUUGGGUGGUGGAGGCCAAGAGGCAAGUAGUCACCUACAGCAGCCGGAUGACGGUAUAGCCCAAGGGGGUGGUGGAUUCAGGGCCGACAAUGAUCUCAGCUUGGAUGAUGCCAGGCACGAGAAUGGCUAUGCUUGGAAGUUAAUCGAUGGACGAGCUGAGCUUCUUUGACUAGUGAUGUGAUGCUGCAGCGGUACAUGGAGCCAUGCUUCUUCUGUGGUGCUUCUGCAGGGGUUCCCUGAUGCGGCAGCACCAGCAGCAAGAGAGAAGUAGA